rnacentral:rRNA from 1 species
AACGAACGCUGGCGGCAGGCUUAACACAUGCAAGUCGAGCGCCCCGCAAGGGGAGCGGCAGACGGGUGAGUAACGCGUGGGAACGUACCCUUUGCUACGGAAUAGCUCCGGGAAACUGGAGUUAAUACCGUAUGUGCGCUACGGGGGAAAGAUUUAUCGGCAAAGGAUCGGCCCGCGUUGGAUUAGCUAGUUGGUGGGGUAAUGGCCUACCAAGGCGACGAUCCAUAGCUGGUCUGAGAGGAUGAUCAGCCACAUUGGGAAUGAGACACGGCCCAAACUCCUACGGGAGGCAGCAGUGGGGAAUAUUGGACAAUGGGCGCAAGCCUGAUCCAGCCAUGCCGCGUGAGUGAUGAAGGCCUUAGGGUUGUAAAGCUCUUUCACCGGAGAAGAUAAUGACGGUAUCCGGAGAAGAAGCCCCGGCUAACUUCGUGCCAGCAGCCGCGGUAACAC